CCAGACUCCUACGGGAGGCAGCAGUGGGGAAUAUUGCACAAUGGGGGGAACCCUGAUGCAGCGACGCCGCGUGGGUGAAGAAGUCAUUCGUGACGUAAAGCCCUAUCAGCAGGGAAGAAAAUGACGGUACCUGACUAAGAAGCCCCGGCUAACUACGUGCCAGCAGCCGCGGUAAUACGUAUGGUGCAAGCGUUAUCCGGAUUUACUGGGCGUAAAGGGAGCGCAGGCGGCGCGCCAAGUCUGAUGUGAAACCCCGGGGCUCAACCCCGGGCAUGCAUUGGAAACUGGCGGGCUGGAGUGCAGGAGGGGCAGGCGGAAUUCCUGGUGUAGCGGUGAAAUGCGUAGAUAUCAGGAGGAACACCGGUGGCGAAGGCGGCCUGCUGGACUGCGACUGACGUUGAGGCCCGAAAGCGUGGGGAGCAAACAGGAUUAGAUACCCUAGUA
rnacentral:rRNA from 1 species